rnacentral:misc_RNA from 1 species
GGACUACUAGGGUUUCUAAUCCCUUUCGCUCCCCUAGCUUUCGUCCCUCAGUGUCAGUUUCGGCCCAGUAGCGCGCUUUCGCCACCGAUGUUCUUCCCAAUCUCUACGCAUUUCACCGCUACACUGGGAAUUCCCGCUACCCCUACCGACCUCUAGCUUUUCAGUUUCUACGGCUUUUCCGGAGUUGAGCUCCGGUCUUUAACCGCGGACUUGAUUAGCCACCUGCGGACGCUUUACGCCCAAUGAUUCCGGAUAACGCUUGCCUCCUCCGUAUUACCGCGGCUGCUGGCACAU